CCGGAAGUCCUCCCUCCCAGAUGGUCUCCGCCUCCUCCACGGCCGGCUACAUCGUUGGUCCGCUCUCUCGGAGGGCUCGAGGACAUGAUUUGAGGUUUAGGUAAGGAAUGGCCCAACUUAAAAGAUUUUCGAGUUGCAUGAAGCUAAGUGAAUGAACAGAUUCUGUUCAUAUAGGUCGGUCUGUAUCGUCUCCAAUAGGGGCAAAGCAUGAAGAACCUUUGCCGGAUGCCAAGGCUAGAAUAUUUUCGUAAUGGGCCUUAAUGGGCCUUACAAAAGUAUCUGCAUUUUGGGCUCUUAAAUGAGCCUCUAGUUGAAUGUGGUAAUUUCAUGCUCAUUCGUUAAGAUAAUAGGCCAUUGGGUUCUGGCUUUGCCGGAAGGAAAGAAAAACCUUAAAGGGCCUUUAUUGGGCCUAAUGUUCCAACAUUUAAUUGGGCCUAAACGGGCUGAAUCUUGAGAUUGUGUAAUUUCUUGUAGACAUUCAAAAACGUCUUUGCAAAAUCUGGCUUUAGGGCCUGAUGCGAGUGAGGUGUGUACGAUUAAUUAAGAUUCUGCGUUGA